rnacentral:rRNA from 1 species
AUGCAAGGAGUAGGCCACCGCCGCCAUACCCAACAAGAGAUCUCGCCGGAGCUCAACGGUACGACUUCUGGAAACGCGCGCGGGCACCGCGACCGCCAAACUUCUUGGGCUCGCAGCGGCGUGGAUCGGCGACGAGGAGCGUCCGGUCGUAGCGGCCGAAGAUCUCCUUCACCUCCUUCUUGGCCGCCUCGUCGACGUACUUCUGGUAGUAGGCGACGAGAGACUUGGCGAUGGCCUGGCGUAUGGAGUAGAUCUGGCUCGUCUUCCCUCCGCCGCGGACGCGGAUACGCAUGUCGAUGUCCUUGA